ACAGGUGCUAAUACCGUAUAACAACAAAAUACGCAUGGAUUUUGUUUGAAAGGUGGCUUCGGCUAUCACUUCUGGAUGAUCCCGCGGCGUAUUAGUUAGUUGGUGAGGUAAAGGCCCACCAAGACGAUGAUACGUAGCCGACCUGAGAGGGUAAUCGGCCACAUUGGGACUGAGACACGGCCCAAACUCCUACGGGAGGCAGCAGUAGGGAAUCUUCCACAAUGGACGAAAGUCUGAUGGAGCAAUGCCGCGUGAGUGAAGAAGGGUUUCGGCUCGUAAAACUCUGUUGUUAAAGAAGAACACCUUUGAGAGUAACUGUUCAAGGGUUGACGGUAUUUAACCAGAAAGCCACGGCUAACUACGUGCCAGCAGCCGCGGUAAUACGUAGGUGGCAAGCGUUGUCCGGAUUUAUUGGGCGUAAAGCGAGCGCAGGCGGUUUUUUAAGUCUGAUGUGAAAGCCUUCGGCUUAACCGGAGAAGUGCAUCGGAAACUGGGAGACUUGAGUGCAGAAGAGGACAGUGG
rnacentral:rRNA from 2 species